UACGGAGGGUGCAAGCGUUAAUCGGAAUUACUGGGCGUAAAGCGCGCGUAGGCGGUUUUUUAAGUCGGAUGUGAAAGCCCCGGGCUCAACCUGGGAACUGCAUCCGAUACUGGAAGACUAGAAUGCGGGAGAGGGAGGUAGAAUUCCAUGUGUAGCAGUGAAAUGCGUAGAUAUAUGGAGGAAUACCAGUGGCGGAGGCGGCCUCCUGGCUCGACAUUGACGCUGAGGUGCGAAAGCGUGGGGAGCAAACGGG
rnacentral:rRNA from 1 species